rnacentral:misc_RNA from 1 species
CACAACUAACUCAGCUGCUAUUGAUUCCACUGUAGCAUCUGGGUUAGCACAAUUAUGAGGCCAAAUAUGAGAUCAAUCCAGCAAAAGACCAUCUAAUGCUGUAUAAAUAAAGCAAACCCACAAUUCCCGAAUAGAAAUUUCUGGAAAGCAUCUAUGUGCUCGUCAAUCACCUAGUUCAUGACACAGAAUUUAAAUUUCAGUACCUUGCUCAAAUUAUGUACACACAACUUGUAAGCUGUAUGACAAGGCAGAAAAAGCAUAAUCCAUAUUUCAAACUUGCAUCACACAUGGCACAUCCCAAAG